ACCUGGUUGGCUCAGUCAGUGGAGCAUGGGGCUCUUGAUCUCGGGGUUGUGAGUUCGAGCCCCAUAUUGGGCA
rnacentral:tRNA from 1 species